GCGAACGCUGGCGGCAAGGCCUAACACAUGCAAGUCGAACGGACCCUUCGGGGUUAGUGGCGGACGGGUGAGUAGCACGUGGGAACGUGCCUUUAGGUUCGGAAUAGCUCCUGGAAACGGGUGGUAAUGCCGAAUGUGCCCUUCGGGGGAAAGAUUUAUCGCCUUUAGAGCGGCCCGCGUCUGAUUAGCUAGUUGGUGGGGUAAUGGCCCACCAAGGCUACGAUCAGUAGCUGGUCUGAGAGGAUGACCAGCCACAUUGGGACUGAGACACGGCCCAAACUCCUACGGGAGGCAGCAGUGGGGAAUCUUGCGCAAUGGGCGAAAGCCUGACGCAGCCAUGCCGCGUGUAUGAUGAAGGUCUUAGGGUUGUAAAAUACUUUCACCGGUGAAGAUAAUGACUGUAGCCGGAGAAGAAGCCCCGGCUAACUUCGUGC
rnacentral:rRNA from 1 species